UACAGAGGGGGCAAGCGUUGUUCGGAAUUACUGGGCGUAAAGGGCGCGUAGGCGGCCUGUUAAGUCGGACGUGAAAUCCCUCGGCUUAACCGGGGAACUGCGUCCGAUACUGGUUGGCUUGAGUUUGGGAGAGGGAUGCGGAAUUCCAGGUGUAGCGGUGAAAUGCGUAGAUAUCUGGAGGAACACCGGUGGCGAAGGCGGCGUCCUGGACCGGUAUUGACACUGAGGCGCGAAAGCCAGGGGAGCAAACGGG
rnacentral:rRNA from 1 species